UACGAAGGGUGCUAGCGUUGUUCGGAAUCACUGGGCGUAAAGCGCGCGUAGGCGGCGAUGAAAGUCAGGGGUGAAAUCCCAGAGCUCAACUCUGGAAUUGCCUUUGAAACUGUAUUGCUUGAGUGUCGGAGGGGAUAGCGGAAUUGCUAAUGUAGAGGUGAAAUUCGUAGAUAUUAGCAGGAACACCGGUGGCGAAGGCGGCUAUCUGGACGACAACUGACGCUGAGGCGCAAAAGCGUGGGGAUCAAACAGG
rnacentral:rRNA from 1 species